rnacentral:rRNA from 1 species
UACGUAGGGGGGCAAGCGUUGUCCGGAUUUAUUGGGCGUAAAGAGCUCGUAGGCGGUCUGUCGCGUCGGCUGUGAAAUCCCGAGGCUCAACCUCGGGUCUGCAGUCGAUACGGGCAAACUGGAGUGUUGCAGGGGAGACUGGAAUUCCUGGUGUAGCGGUGAAAAUGCGCAGAUAUCAGGAGGAACACCGGUGGCGAAGGCGGGUCUCUGGGCCGAUACUGACGCUGAGGAGCGAAAGCGUGGGGAGCGAACAGG